rnacentral:rRNA from 1 species
UACGGAGGGUGCAAACGUUGCUCGGAAUCAUUGGGCGUAAAGCGCACGUAGGCGGCCUGAUAAGUCGGGUGUGAAAGCCCUGGGCUCAACCCAGGAAGUGCACUCGAAACUGUCAGGCUUGAAUAUGGAAGAGGGUCGCGGAAUUCCCGGUGUAGAGGUGAAAUUUCGUAGAUAUCGGGAGGAACACCAGUGCGAGGCGGCGCCUGGGCCAAUAUUGACGCUGAGGUGCGAAAGCGUGGGGAUCAAACAGG